rnacentral:lncRNA from 1 species
GCAUGAUAAAAAUGGUUUCAUGAGAAAAUAUAUAGAAGAAUAUAUACUACUAUAAGUUUGACAGAAACAACUAUUAAAGCAACUAAGAAGAUGAAUUUGUGAGCACACAAACACUAUCAUAUGCCUCAAAUUCCAAUAGUCUUUUUAAGUCAUCAACAAAUAACAUUAAACCUAUUAUUAGAGUUAAACAUUCAUUCCAUACUUAAAUCGAACUCUCAAAGAGCAACAACACAACAGUAAUACUAGCAAAUCAUAAGAAACAAAACGUGAAGAAUAAAAUAGAGCCACCGAGAAAAUAAAACCAUACAAACUCAAAGAACAAAAACUUUAACCUCAAACUACAACAAAACAUAAAAUUAAAAGAUAAGCAUACCACCUUACAUGAAAGUGUCUGACCGACAAAAAUGUUUAUUGGACGGAGACUAAGAGGUUGUCAUUCAGUGAUGCAAGAUCUUGAUGAAGGUGGUGCAAACUCUGUGCGAGGAGAUGGUUGUUAUCGUUGUUGAACGAAUCGAAAAUGAGCGACGAAGUUGAAUCUGACGAGAGAGUGAGGUUAUGGUGUUAUGCGGUGGUGUAAGGUCAGAGUUGAUGAAAAGUGGUAGUAUUAUUGAGAGAAAAACUAGAAUAAGUGUACCAUGAAAAGAGCUUCACAUGGAGGAAGCAAAACCAAACUUCCUCCGUUCACUUUUUCCACCAUUUU